rnacentral:rRNA from 1 species
UGGGGAAUAUUGCACAAUGGAGGGAACUCUGAUGCAGCGACGCCGCGUGAACGAAGAAGGCUUUCGAGUCGUAAAGUUCUUUUAUAUGGGAAGAUAAUGACGGUACCAUAAGAAGAAGCCCCGGCUAACUACGUGCCAGCAGCCGCGGUAAUACGUAGGGGGCUAGCGUUGUCCGGAAUCACUGGGCGUAAAGGGUUCGCAGGCGGAAAUGCAAGUCAGGUGUAAAAGGCAGUAGCUUAACUACUGUAAGCAUUUGAAACUGCAUAUCUUGAGAAGAGUAGAGGUAAGUGGAAUAUUUAGUGUAGCGGUGAAAUGCGUAGAUAUUAAAAAGAAUACCGGUGGCGAAGGCGACUUACUGGGCUCAUUCUGACGCUGAGGAACGAAAGCGUGGGUAGCAAACAGG